AGUAACACGCGGAACAACCUGCCCUUGGGUGGGGGAUAAGCUCGGGAAACUGAGUACAAUACCCCAUAGGCCACCUCUGCUGGAAUGCUUGAUGGCCGAAAGCUCCGGCGCCCAAGGAUGGGUCUGCGGCCUAUCAGGUCGUAGUUGGUGUAACGGACCAACUAGCCUUCGACGGGUACGGGCCUUGAGAGAGGUAGCCCGGAGAUGGACUCUGAGACAUGAGUCCAGGCCCUACGGGGCGCAGCAGGUGCGAAAACUUCGCAAUGUGGGAAACCACGACGAGGGAAAUCCAAGUGCUUACACAAUGUGUAGGCUGUUUCCAUGUCUAAAAAACAUGGAGAGUAAGGGCUGGGUAAGACGGGUGCCAGCCGCCGCGGUAAUACCCGCAGCCCGAGUGGUGGUCGCUAUUAUUGGGCCUAAAACGUCCGUAGCCGGCCCGGUAAAUUCUUGGGGAAAUCGAUCGGCUUAACCGACCGAAGUCCGAGGAGACUGCCGGGCUUGGGACUGGGUGA
rnacentral:rRNA from 1 species